AAUCGAUCGAGUGAGGCAGAGAGGGGAAAACUGCCUAUUGAAUCCUUCCUUAAUUCCUGCCUUUUUUUUUUUUUUGGAAGAAUAGUUAAAGAAGGUAGAACUUGUGCAAACAGAAAACAAAACACCAAGGAAGAGUGAGUGCAUGUGAAGGAACAGACACAAGGUCAGAAGGAACUUCAAGAACCAUCAGAGCAGCAGCCCAUGAAUUCACCUGAGAAGGGCCGAGUCUUCCUGCAAAUCAGCUGAGGAAUGAGAUGCCACUGGAUUUAGAUGAGGAGCUCCUUGGAGACAGAGACUCACUCCCUGCUUGUCCAGGACCAGUUUAUCAACACAAAAUUAAUUGUCUCUACACCUGUUCAUUUCAUGGGGAGACUGAAAAUAAGAAGAUAAUCUCUGUAGACUUCCAAAGGGAACUGUGCCUUCAUCAUUCCAUAUGACCCUGACGGCUGUGCCCUCCUCAGCCAGUGAGAGAACCCGUGACUCCUGGAAAUAAACUUGGCAAGUAAAUGAUGAGAAUACA
rnacentral:lncRNA from 1 species